rnacentral:rRNA from 1 species
AUUGAACGCUGGCGGCAGGCCUAACACAUGCGAGUCGAGCGGAUGAAGGGAGCUUGCUCCUGGAUUCAGCGGCGGACGGGUGAGUAAUGCCUAGGAAUCUGCCUGGUAGUGGGGGAUAACGUCCGGAAACGGGCGCUAAUACCGCAUACGUCCUUAGGGAGAAAGUGGGGGAUCUUCGGACCUCACGCUAUCAGAUGAUCCUAGGUCGGAUUAGCUAGUUGGUGGGGUAAAGGCUUACCAAGGCGACGAUCCGUAACUGGUCUGAGAGGAUGAUCAGUCACACUGGAACUGAGACACGGUCCAGACUCCUACGGGAGGCAGCAGUGGGGAAUCUUGGACAAUGGGCGAAAGCCUGACGCAGCCAUGCCGCGUGUGUGAAGAAGGUCUUCGGAUUGUAAAGCACUUUAAGUUGGGAGGAAGGGCAGUAAGUUAAUACCUUGCUGUUUUGACGUUACCAACAGAAUAAGCACCGGCUAACUUCGUG